CAGAGCCACGCCCACGUCCUCUCAUUGGCUGUCGGUGUCCAUGACGAUGCGCUCCGGUCAGCAGCCGCGGUCAGAGCGCACAAUUACACACACUGCUGACCUUGACAACAGCAUGGACUCAUUUUCCUGACAUCACUGUGAGUGUGUGAGUGUGUGUGUGUGUGUGUGUUCAGUCGAGUCUGGUGAUGUGAAUCUGAAAGAAGUGUUUCAGUAAGUGUUUGAGCAGGUUUAUCCAUCACAUCUACUCAAGUUUUCUCAGGGAUUAGUUUAAGACGCUGGUUCUUUAGUGAUUUCCUGCUUCAUUAAAGGAGCUGCAUAAACAUUCCGCUAAAUAUCUAUCGCUUGUCUUCCACCGAG